rnacentral:tRNA from 1 species
GCAUUAGUGGUUCGGUGUUAAAAUUCUUCCCUUCCAUGGGGGAGAUCCAGGUUCAAUUCCCAGCCAAUGCA